CCCUGACAGACGUCAAGAGAGCGGAACCAAGGUUUCGCAGCAGGCGGGGGCGCCCGGAGGCUUUUCGCCGAGACUCCCACGCUAGCGACGCGCGCCUCGUUGCUAGGGGCGGAGGCAAAGGAGGCUGUGGAGCGCAGAGGCUGCGGACGCCCUGCCGCUCCGCGACCCCGCCGGCCUCAGCUCCGGGCUGGGCAGCCUGCGGAUGGAGAUUAGGAAGUGGCUGCCUGAACGAUUUUGCAAAGGAUAAACAUUACAAAGCAUUGAAUACAGCAGUUCACCAAGAAGAUCCUGUUGGUUUGGGGGGAACACAGCUUUCAGCGGCCACAAGGUAUGCUGCUACUCAGGUGCCAUCUGAAACGAGCUCCUCCUCAGGUUUUGUGUCGGUUCUGUGCUGUGAUGGGGAAACUGCAAAGCAAACUGAAACAUGGCACUUAUAAAUACAGCAGGCCUGAUGGAAUUAUAGAAGACAGAAUUCAAAGUAAAGCUUUUCAAGAGUAUACCCCAGCUCACGUGGAUACCGUCUCUGUUGUUGCUGCUCUGAACUCAGACGUUUGUGUUUCUGGAGGAAAAGAUAAGACAGUUGUGGCCUACAAUUGGAAAACCGGAAACGUGGUAAAAAGGUUCAGAGGACAUGAACGUGAAAUCACCAAGUCCAGUCAAGCAGGCACACCGGAGCUUUUUUUUCUUGAGCAGAUAGCCUGUGUUCACAAGUCAAACCAGUUCUUCAGCGCCUCUCGGGACAGGAUGGUCAUGAUGUGGGACUUGCACGGUUCUUCACAACCAAGGCAGCAGUUCUCCGGCCAUGCCAUGGUGGUCACUGGGUUGGCUGUGAGUCCAGACUCGUCACAGCUGUGCACUGGCUCUCGGGACAACACCCUGCUUCUGUGGGAUGUGGGGACCGGACAGUGUGUGGAGAGAGCUUCAGUCUCCAGGAACCUGGUCACGCACCUGUGCUGGGUCCCCAGAGAACCAUAUAUACUACAGACUUCUGAAGAUAAAACCAUCAGAUUAUGGGACAGUCGGGGGCUGCAGGUGGCUCAUAUAUUUCCCACAAAGCAACACAUUCAGACCUACUGCGAGGUCAGUGAGGAUGGACACAAGUGUAUCUCCUGCAGCAACGGCUUUGGAGGGGAAGGCUGUGAAGCCACGCUGUGGGACCUAAGGCAGACACGGACCAGAAUAUGUGAGUAUAAGGGGCAUUUCCAGACUGUUGCAUCCGGUGUCUUUCUUCCAAGAGCAUUGGCUUUGAUGCCUGUCAUUGCUACCUCAUCACAUGACAGCAAGGUGAAGAUUUGGAACCAGGAUACCGGAGAAAGCUGAUUUACCAGCACCCCACUGCCUGCAUGCUCUUCUGUCCUGGACAUGGGGUUCUGCCAGACACAGGAAUAGCAUUCAUUCAGAGAAUCUCAAAGCAAAUCCCUCCUACAGUCAGCUUCCAGAAACUCAACUCCCAGCACAGGAGGAUAUGGUAGCUCCCUCAGAAAAGAUGUGGGAUCAUGUCAAGUGGCACACAGCCAAACUUUCACAGUGAGGGCAGCCCUGCUGUACCCUCACCUGGCGUUGCCUUCUCCAGCCGCCCAGGCUGCCAAGCUAAGACUACAUGGCCAGUGAGGCAUGGCUGUGAGGUUCGGUAAUAAACACCCAGGAGAAGAAGGGAAGCUAUGCAGAUACAGAGAGGAGCACAGAUGAGAGAGUGUGGCCAUAGAGAAGAGAAGAGUGAGAGACCCCGAGGCCCCAGGAAGACCAGAAAGACCCUGCAGACCCAGAGAGGAGGGAGGUCUCUGGCUUCCUGAUUUUCACACUCUAGAAGCCCUGUCAGAGGAUCCUUGCCAGUGUUGCCCGCUGAACAUGACAAGAGCAGAGAUGGAUUCUGGCCCAGGAGACUUCUCGCCUGGCAUUUGAAGAUGGCCUUGGAGAUCUUCAUAGAAACUCCCUGGACCUUCCUUGUACAAAUAGCCUUCAGCCAACACUUUACCACUAUCUUCCUGGCAGGGCUCACGUGGAGAAAGCUUUUGGAAUAAGUGUGAUGACUCCCCUGCUUGUGCCUGGACCAAUUCACACCAAGGACCUUCUGAGUGUCAAUUACUGCCCCCUUGACAUUGCUAAACUACUUUAUAUUUGAAAGAAUAUCUGGAUCUUGUAGUUAGUUCUUGUUAAGCCUGAGGUGAACAAGGGCUGGGAAAUAGUACCACAUCAGUGUUUCUAACUUUAUUCAAUUGACACAUUCUACAAAAUAAAAUACUUCCUUACCCUUAUCCACAAUUCUAAAAUCCUUACAUUCUGCAAAGUUUUUUCAUUGAAUUUGGUGCCAAAAUUGACCUGACCUUAUGGUGUUUAUUCUUUUUGGUGUUACUAUUUAUAAGAAAUUGCAGAAUAUUCAUAUGUUUGAUAGGGUGCUGCCCCAGAUCCCACUGGGAGAGUCACUUAAUAUAUAGUAAAUGCAAAUUACCUACCUAAAAUAUGAAAAAUUCUGAAACCCAUCUGGCCCCACCCCACCAUUUUUUUUUUAAAGAUUUUAUUGGGGAAGGGGAACGGAACUUUAUUGGGGAAUAGUGUGUA